rnacentral:rRNA from 1 species
UCCUGGCUCAGGAUGAACGCUGGCGGCGUGCCUAAUACAUGCAAGUCGAGCGAACAGACGAGGAACUUGCUCCUCUGACGUUAGCGGCGGACGGGUGAGUAACACGUGGAUAACCUACCUAUAAGACUGGGAUAACUUCGGGAAACCGGAGCUAAUACCGGAUAAUAUAUUGAACCGCAUGGUUCAAUAGUGAAAGACGGUUUUGCUGUCACUUAUAGAUGGAUCCGCGCCGCAUUAGCUAGUUGGUAAGGUAACGGCUUACCAAGGCAACGAUGCAUAGCCGACCUGAGAGGGUGAUCGGCCACAUUGGGACUGAGAUACGCCCAGACUCCUACGGGAGGCAGCAGUAGGGAAUCUUCGGCAAUGGACGGAAGUCUGACCGAGCAACGCCGCGUGAGUGAAGAAGGUCUUCGGAUCGUAAAACUCUGUUAUUAGGGAAGAACAAAUGUGUAAGUAACUAUGCACGUCUUGACGGUACCUAAUCAGAAAGCCACGGCUAACUACGUGGCCAGCAGCCGCGGUAAUACGUAGGUGGCAAGCGUUGUUCGGAUUUACUGGGCGUAAAGCGCGUGUAGGCGGCUUGGCAAGUCGGAUGUGAAAGCCCACGGCUCAACCGUGGAGGGUCAUUGGAAACUGGAAAACUUGAGUGCAGAAGAGGAAAGUGGAAUUCCAUGUGUAGCGGUGAAAUGCGUAGAUAUAGGGAGGAACACCAGUGGCGAAGGCGACCUACUGGGCACCUAACUGACGUUGAGGCUAAGCAUGGGGAGCGAACAGGGAGAACCCUGGUAGUCCACGCCCUAAACGAUGGAUACUCGACAUUUGCGAUAUACUGUAAGUGUCUGAGCGAAAGCAUUAAGUAUCCCACCUGGGAAGUACGAUCGCAAGAUUGAAAC